GGGGGGGGGGGGGGGGGGGGGGGGGGGGGGGGGGGGGGGGGGGGGGGGGGGGGGGGGGGGGGGGGGGGGGGGGGGGGGGGGGGGGGGGGGUGGGGUGGGGCAGGGGUGUGGCACGGCUCAGGUGAGGGGUACCAUGGAUGUGUGGGGUGCCACAGGUGUGUGAGGUGCCACAGGUGUGGGGUACAAUGGAUGUGGGGUACGGCACGGAUGGGGUAUCACUGGUGUGGGGUGCCACAGGUGUUGGGGAAUCAGUGGGUUUUGGGUAUCACUGGGUUUGGGGUAUCAGAGGGUUUGGGGUAUCACAGGUGUGUGGGGUACCAUGGAUGGGUGCCACAGGUGUUGGGGUAUCAGUGGGUUUUGGGUAUCACAGGUGUUGGGGUAUCACAGGUGUGGGGUAUCACAGGUGUGAUCCCACAGGAACAUCACUCUGGGAUGGAGCACAGGGCAGAGCUCUGGGUUUCUCUGUAGGUGCCUGCCCUGAUCCCACCCUGUGCACCUCAAACCCCUCACCCUGCACAGUGGUUCUGCCUGAGCCCAGUGCCACCAAAGCCAUCUGCAACCUUCAUCUCAAUCCCUCAUCUCCAAACUUCAUCCCCAAGCCUCAUCCCUCAUCCCCAUCCCUCAUCUCCAUCCCUCGUCCCUCAUCUCCAACCUUCAUCCCCAUCCCUCAUCCCUCAUCCCUCAUCCCCAUCCCUCAUCUCCAACCCUCGUCCCUCAUCUCCAUCCUACAUCCCCAUCCCUCAUCCCCAUCCCCAUCCCUUAUCCCACAUCUCCAAUCCUUCAUCCCCAAACUUCAUCCCUCAUCUCCAAUCUUCAUCUCCAUUCCUCAUCCCCAUCCCCAUCCCCAUCCCUCAUCUCCAACCCUCAUCCCUCACCUCCAACCUUCAUCUCCAUCCCUCAUCCUCAUCCCCAUCCCCAAUCCACAUCCCUCAUCCCAGCUGUCACUGAUCCCUGCACAUCUGGAUUAACCCCUGGAAUUCUGUCAUUCCACGAGCUGCAAUCUCAGAAAACCAUGCCGAGCUGCCUCUAUCUGAGCAUCGCAUUCCUCUUUGAACUGG
rnacentral:lncRNA from 12 species